rnacentral:rRNA from 1 species
CCUACGGGUGGCAGCAGUGAGGAAUAUUGGUCAAUGGGCGCGAGCCUGAACCAGCCAAGUCGCGUGAGGGAAGACGGUCCUAUGGAUUGUAAGCCUCUUUUGUCGGGGAGCAAAAGACGCCACGCGUGGCGUUCCGAGAGUACCCGAAGAAAAAGCAUCGGCUAACUCCGUGCCAGCAGCCGAGGUACUACGGAGGAUGCGAGAGUUAUCCGGAUUUAUUGGGGUUAAGGGGGGCCCGGGCGGAAGAUCAAGUCAGCGGUAAAAUUGAGGGGCUCAACCCCUUCGAGCCGUUGAAACUGGUUGUCUUGAGUGAGUGAGAAGUAUGCGGAAUGCGUGGUGUAGCGGUGAAAUGCAUAGAUAUCACGCAGAACUCCGAUUGCGAAGGCAGCAUACCGGCGUUCAACUGACGCUCAUGCACGAAAGUGUGGGUAGCGAACAGGAUUAGAUACCCGAGUAGUC